UACGUAGGGUGCGAGCGUUGUCCGGAAUUACUGGGCGUAAAGCGCACGUAGGCGGCUUUGUAAGUUAGAGGUGAAAGCCCGGGGCUCAACCCCGGAAUAGCCUUUAAGACUGCAUCGCUUGAACACGGGAGAGGUGAGUGGAAUUCCGAGUGUAGAGGUGAAAUUCGUAGAUAUUCGGAAGAACACCAGUGGCGAAGGCGGCUCACUGGACCGUUGUUGACGCUGAGGUGCGAAAGCGUGGGGAGCAAACAGG
rnacentral:rRNA from 1 species